CGGCCUUGAAAUACCACCCUUUAAUGUUUGAUGUUCUAACGUGGACCCGUGAUCCGGGUUGCGGACAGUGUCUGGUGGGUAGUUUGACUGGGGCGGUCUCCUCCUAAAGAGUAACGGAGGAGCACGAAGGUUGGCUAAUCCUGGUCGGACAUCAGGAGGUUAGUGCAAUGGCAUAAGCCAGCUUGACUGCGAGCGUGACGGCGCGAGCAGGUGCGAAAGCAGGUCAUAGUGAUCCGGUGGUUCUGAAUGGAAGGGCCAUCGCUCAACGGAUAAAAGGUACUCCGGGGAUAACAGGCUGAUACCGCCCAAGAGUUCAUAUCGACGGCGGUGUUUGGCACCUCGAUGUCGGCUCAUCACAUCCUGGGGCUGAAGUAGGUCCCAAGGGUAUGGCUGUUCGCCAUUUAAAGUGGUACGCGAGCUGGGUUUAGAACGUCGUGAGACAGUUCGGUCCCUAUCUGCCGUGGGCGCUGGAGAACUGAGGGGGGCUGCUCCUAGUACGAGAGGACCGGAGUGGACGCAUCACUGGUGUUCGGGUUGUCAUGCCAAUGGCACUGCCCGGUAGCUAAAUGCGGAAGAGAUAAGUGCUGAAAGCAUCUAAGCACGAAACUUGCCCCGAGAUGAGUUCUCCCUGACCCUUUAAGGGUCCUGAAGGAACGUUGAAGACGACGACGUUGAUAGGCCGGGUGUGUAAGCGCAGCGAUGCGUUGAGCUAACCGGUACUAAUGAACCGUGAGGCUUAACCUUACAACGCCGAAG
rnacentral:rRNA from 1 species